AAGAGAGGCCAGCCCCCAUUCCUGGGGCUCCCCGAGGAGCUGGCUUUCAGCAGGGUUUAGAGCAGCACGAAAAGUGAACUGACCCUGGAAAAAUGCCUUAGACCUUGUGAUCCAAGAUGGCUGCUGGACCUCCAGUUCCAAGCAGGAAGUACAGGAAGCGGGCAAAGGCAACAAGGGUGUGAUGAACAUGAAGCCAGCCCCCUUCGCUGAGAUUUCCCAGAAACCUCACCCCCUGAUUUCUGCUUGCACUCACUGGCCAAUUCUAUCUGCAAGGAUGAUAAGAAAUAUUUUAUUUUAGCUGAGCACAUUGCUGCCCAGUGUUCUAUUACCAUGAAAAUAAGAGGAAAAUGGAUGUUGUGUAACCCAGAGGCUUGGUGCAUGCAUCAGAAUCUUCUGGUGGCCUUAUUAAGACACGGUAGUUCCCCCUUAUUCACGGGAGAUCCAUUCCAAGACCCCCAAUGGAUGCCUAAAACCACAGAUAGUACUGGGUAAUCUUCUCAUCUGUGAGGAUAUGGAACCCCAACCUCUUCCUGGACACCUGAUGAUCUGCUUGUGAUGGGCUCAGAGUCUUGAAACACAGAACUAUGAGCUCAUCUCAUAUCCCAAUCCAGCAGCAUGGAAACCUCAGACUGCAAGGCCCAAGACUGGCACUUGUUCUCUCCCAACUCUUUUCUUUCUCUCUCUCCUUUCUUUUAUCCCUUAAUUCCUUCUUGCUUCCUUCCAAGAUUUAUACUAUUACCUUUUAGGCAAAACAUCCUGAACAUGUAAAAUAAACUAAUUAAAAUCAGAAUCCACACGUUCAUGGAGUCAUAGAACCUAAGGGUUGAAAAGAACCCUUAAGGCCAGGCACGGUGGCUCACCUCUGUAAUCCCAGCACUUUGGGAGACCGAGGCAGGCGGAUCACGAGUCUGCGCCAUUUGUGGAGAACUGCAUUUCACCAGCACUCCAUUCAUGAAGAAUCUACGAGCGCCCUCUAGAGGAAUUUUCUCUCUUUCACAUCUACACACGGUGAAAAGGGCCAACUAGGGCUGCUCUUGUCCGGGCUGAAUUCUGGAAAGCAUCAAUUUCUCAGGAUAUAUAUGCAGCGUUUAAGUACAUUUUCUGCGAGAAGCAGAUGCAUUGGUUUGCAAGUCAGAGCGAAAGCCAGUGCUGCUGUUCAGAGUCAGAGCUGGGCAGGAUGAAGUUUAAUGAACAUUAUUAACCAUUGAGAAGAUGCAUUUCUUGCUGAGUAGCCCCCAGGGCAGACGACAGCUCAGUCACCCUGGAAGAAUUCAACCAGAAAAAGACCUCACAAACCGACAGUUCUGUGCUAGUGAGAACCAUUAU
rnacentral:lncRNA from 1 species